rnacentral:rRNA from 1 species
UACGGGGGGGGCAAGCGUUGUUCGGAAUUACUGGGCGUAAAGGGCUCGUAGGCGGCCAACUAAGUCAGACGUGAAAUCCCUCGGCUUAACCUGGGAACUGCAUCCGAUACUGGAUGGCUUGAAUCCGGGAGAGGGAUGCAGAAUUCCAGGUGUAGCGGUGAAAUGCGUAGAUAUCUGGAGGAAUACCGGUGGCGAAGGCGGCAUCCUGGACCGGCAUUGACGCUGAGGGAGCGAAAGCCAGGGGAGCAAACGGG